UAUACACAAGUUAAGAGCGUCAUUCCUGGCAUUUUACUCUACUUAUAUAUAGAAGAGGGAGCCUGCUUGCCAUCAGGACACCCAUCAGUGUUUACUUACAUUUUUAAUUCUAUUCUAAGAAAGAGAGAAUAUGCAAAUCAGUGAAAACAUGAAUCCUGUGAAGCUUGUUAAACGGAGCAGCUGGAGUUCAAACUCCACACACAACCUGAAGAGGAGAAGUGAAAGAGGAGUUGCUUCUUUGUUGGAUCGCUUAUAGAAUUCUGUUCCAAUAGAUUCAUAACCAUACAAGCUAAAAUGAUCACACAUUCUUCAAGCAAUUAAGCUUUUAAAUUCUUCUGAUGGUCAGUUAGACUGGAUAUUAUAAUUUGAUUUAUUAGUAUUAAAUGUAUUGUCUACAUGCA